GAUGAAGAACGUAGCGAAAUGCGAUACUUGGUGUGAAUUGCAGAAUCCCGUGAACCAUCGAGUGUUUGAACGCAAGUUGCGCCUCAAGCCAUUAGGUUGAGGGCACGUCUGCCUGGGCGUCACAUAUCGUUGCCUGAUGCCAGUUUCCUCGUGAUGGGUGACUGUGCAGGGCGAAUGAUGGCUUCCCGUGAGCAUUGUUGCCUCAUGGUUGGUUGAAAAUUGAGUCCUUGGUAGGGAGCGCCGUGAUAGAUGGUGGUUGAGUGACGAACGAGACCCAAUCAUGUGAGACCCGUACCGAAUUUGGCCUUCAUGACCCACAUGCGUCUUUGGAACGCUCAUGACGAGACCUCAGGUCAGGCGGGGCUACCCGCUGAGUUUAAGCAUAUCAAUAAGCGGAGGA
rnacentral:misc_RNA from 1 species